rnacentral:rRNA from 1 species
CCGCACGCGCGCUACACUGACAGAGCCAGCGAGUUCUUUUCCUUGGCCGGAAGGUCUGGGUAAUCUUGUGAAACUCUGUCGUGCUGGGGAUAGAGCAUUGCAAUUAUUGCUCUUCAACGAGGAAUACCUAGUAAGCGUGAGUCAUCAGCUCGCGUUGAUUACGU